rnacentral:rRNA from 1 species
UACGUAGGGGGCGAGCGUUGUCCGGAAUUAUUGGGCGUAAAGGGCUCGUAGGCGGUCUGUUGCGUCAGGAGUGAAAACUCGGGGCUUAACCCCGAGCCUGCUUCUGAUACGGGCAGACUAGAGGUAUGCAGGGGAGAACGGAAUUCCUGGUGUAGCGGUGAAAUGCGUAGAUAUCUGGAGGAACACCGGUGGCGAAGGCGGCGUUCUGGACUGCAACUGACACUGAGGAACGAAAGCCAGGGGAGCAAACGGG